AACUCCAUGGUGAGGACAAGAUCUAGUGUAACCCUUCAAUCUUUGCCAUGCUUCAUAGAGAGUUUCAUUAGGACCUUGCUUGAAGCUCGUGAUAUCGUUCUUAAUCGGU
rfam:Arabis alpina cultivar Pajares scaff_68488_1_contig_21, whole genome shotgun sequence.